rnacentral:lncRNA from 1 species
CUUUCUUUUGUCAAGUGUGGGAAGGACUGUGUGAGCACAAGUUCAUUCUCCAGCAGGUGAAUUUUUGGAAACAGUUCAUAUGGAAGACGAGGAUCUGGAAAUGAGUUCCCUUGAAACCAUCUGUACAGACAUGGCCCGUGGAACAUCCUUCUGUCCUCUCCCUGUUUGGAAGCUUCCACCCAGAGGUUCAGGGCCCAGGAGCUCUGUCUGAGAGAGCGCUAAGGGCAGAGGGUUUUCUUGGACCUGUUUUGUGUGCAAAGCACGUAUAAGUCAAAGCCUUUUUCCGCAAGUGAGGUUGGUUAAGCAGAGAAAAGACAGCGAGGUGUUUUGUUUGUCUGGAAUCCUAUGGGCUUGGAGGCACAAUCUGGUGUACAGCAGGCCAGAGGGUCUGGAGUUAGCUGUGAUAUCAGGUGUUCUAGAGAGACUCUUUUGGGUCUUUGGUGGCCAUUACCCUCUAAGCAUAGCUUCACAUGAUAGGAUGAAGUUUCUUUGCACUAACAGUGUCAGGAGCUGGAACUGGAGUUACAAGUCUAGUUUAAAGAGCUAUCCAAAGGUUUCCAUUUCUACUGGCUUGAGGGCAAAAGAGGUUGUUGGGGGGCUUGCCUUUGGCCUCUGAGCCCAAGGGAUUCCAAAUGAAUGCUCUGCAAAGGUAAGCCUGUAUCAUUCAGCUUUGUGCAUUCAUCCCCAUAGCUUGUGCAAGGCAGACAGUGUUCAAUAAAGAA